GAUGAAGAACGUAGCGAAACGCGAUAAGUAAUGUGAAUUGCAGAAUCCAGUGAAUCGUCGAAUCUUUGAACGCACAUUGCGCCCGCCAGCAUUCUGGCGGGCAUGCCUGUUCGAGCGUCAUUUCAACCCUCGACCUCCCCUUGGGGAGGUCGGCGUUGGGGACCGGCAGCACACCGCCGGCCCUGAAAUGGAGUGGCGGCCCGUCCGCGGCGACCUCUGCGCAGUAAUACAGCUCGCACCGGGACCCCGACGCGGCCACGCCGUAAAACACCCAACUUCUGAACGUUGACCUCGAAUCAGGUAGGACUACCCGCUGAACUUAAGCAUAUCAAUAAGCGGAGGA
rnacentral:misc_RNA from 1 species